AGCUCGAUAGCGCAACGGUAGCGCGUCUGUUCUCUAUUGUGGAUGGAAGAUCUCGGUUCGACUCUGAGUCGAGCUA
rnacentral:tRNA from 1 species